rnacentral:rRNA from 1 species
UACGGGGGGGGCAAGCGUUGUUCGGAAUUACUGGGCGUAAAGGGCUCGUAGGCGGCCAACUAAGUCAUACGUGAAAUCCCUCGGCUUAACCGGGGAACUGCGUCUGAUACUGGAUGGCUUGAGUUCGGGAGAGGGAUGCGGAAUUCCAGGUGUAGCGGUGAAAUGCGUAGAUACUCGGAGGAAUACCGGUGGCGAAGGCGGCAUCCUGGACCGAGAUUGACACUGAUGAGCGAAAAGCUAGGGGAGCAAACGGG